GACAGAGGUGCCGAGCGUUAGGCGGAAUCACUGGGCUUAAAGCGUGUGUAGGCGGGCGGGCAGGUACCUUGUGAAAUCCCACGGCUCAACCGUGGAACUGCUGGGUAUACUGCCUGUCUUGAGCCAGCUAGGGGCGAGCGGAACAGACGGUGGAGCGGUGAAAUGCGUAGAUAUCGUCUGGAACGCCGAAGGUGAAAACAGCUCGCUGGGGCUGUGCUGACGCUGAGACACGAAAGCCAGGGGAGCGAACGGG
rnacentral:rRNA from 1 species